UCUGCGUUUUGCGCAGCGGUCUCGCUAGAAAAAAGCAACUAGCGACGAGGGUUGCGCUCGUUGCGGGACUUAACCCAACACCUCACGGCACGAGCUGACGACAGCCAUGCAGCACCUGUGCACGGACUCCGAAGAGGAACCGAUGUUUCCACCGGCUUUCCCGUGCAUGUCAAGCCCAGGUAAGGUUCUUCGCGUUGCUUCGAAUUAAUCCACAUGCUCCGCCGCUUGUGCGGGCCCCCGUCAAUUUCUUUGAGUUUUAGCCUUGCGGCCGUACUCCCCAGGCGGGGUACUUAAUGCGUUAGCGCCGGCACCCAGAGGGUCGCUCCCCCAGGCACCUAGUACCCAUCGUUUACGGCGUGGACUAC
rnacentral:misc_RNA from 1 species